GCUCAUUCUUGAAUCUCUGAUAGUCCAAAUUUUGACAGAGAAGAUUAGCAUGGCCCCUGCGCGCGCAAGGAUGACACGCAUAAAUCGAGAAAUGGUCCAUAUUUUU